GUUGAUUCUCUGGUAUGAGUUCAGAUGUCCUUGUGUUAUGUUGGUUAUGUCAUCGUUGAAGAAUCUGGCGUAAGAACUUCAUCAUAACCACACAAAAAUCAGAGAUCAACAAUACAAAGAGCUAUACUGGGGCGGCAGGUAGCCUAGUGGUUAGGUAGCGUUGGCCAGUAACCGAAAGGAUGCUACGUCGAAUCCCCGAGCUGACAAGCCUACACCCAUUGCAGAGAGCCCUAUGGAACAUCAAUCUCGGCCAGCUCAGUACAGGAACUACUCCCCCUGAUGUCUACUCACCCAGCACAGCACAGGAAGUAAUGGCCCAUCACAGAGCCUCAUGGGGAAUGUAGGCAAACUUCACCUGAUAAUGUCCAGUCCGUUGGAAGGUGAUUUGAAGGAUAUCAGCUGUGUGCUAGCCUUGCUCUGAAUUUGCUUUCCCUAUAGUCAAGAAUCCAUACCUCAAUAACAUUAAAUAGCCUAUGAAACCUUAUCCUCUAGGCCUGGUAGGUAAUGGCUAGAUAACCAUGUAAUUUUAUGCAACUGGUAGUUUAUGUUGCAACCCAGUAUCCUACAAAAUACGGGAGAGGGUGCCGAUUCUGAAGGUACCAGAUUACCUUCAGUGGACCAGGCGAAAUGUUGAAGCUAUACCAUCUGCAGGGACCAGAUCUCGUUUGGAACUGGCGAAAUGUAUAAACUAUACCAGUUGACCAUGCGCGGUGCUGUUUCACCCAUUUCAACCAUUUUGUAGACAGGCCCAUUGUUCUGUUUUUCAAUGAUUAGGUUAAAAUAAUUCCCUGAUCGAUUGUAAUUGAUGAUGGUAAUAAUAUAAAUAAUAUAAUAUUUUGGUCAUUUUUACUCUGCUGUUGUCUGAAUAUUUUUAUUAGGCUAGAAUUUAUUUUAAAAUGAGCAGUAAACAUGUUGAGGCUUAUUCACACUGGGCGAUGUAUUUUUUAAGUAUAUAUUUUGUAUCUGCAAUUUGGUGUAAUAUAAAUGUAUUAUUAACCAG